rnacentral:rRNA from 1 species
GGAAAAGAAACCAACAGGGAUUGCCCUAGUAACGGCGAGUGAAGCGGCAACAGCUCAAAUUUGAAAUCUGGCUCCUUCGGGGUCCGAGUUGUAAUUUGUAGAGGGUGCUUUGGCGUUGGUUGUGGUCUAAGUUCCUUGGAACAGGACGUCACAGAGGGUGAGAAUCCCGUACGUGGCCGCCAGCCUUCGCCGUGUAAAGCCCCUUCGAUGAGUCGAGUUGUUUGGGAAUGCAGCUCUAAAUGGGAGGUAAAUUUCUUCUAAAGCUAAAUAUUUGCCAGAGACCGAUAGCGCACAAGUAGAGUGAUCGAAAGAUGAAAAGCACUUUGGAAAGAGAGUCAAAAAGCACGUGAAAUUGUUGAAAGGGAAGCGCUUGCAGCUAGACGUGCCUUGGGUUGAUCAGCCGGACUUUUGCCCGGCGCACUCUUCCCUUGGCAGGCCAGCAUCAGUUUGGGCGGCUGGAUAAAGGUCUGUUAAACGUGACUUCCUUCGGGGAGAGCUUAUAGGGCAGACGACAUGCAGCCAGCCUGAACUGAGGUCCGCGCAUCUGCUAGGAUGCUGGCAUAAUAGCUGUAAGCGGCCCGUCUUGAAACACGGACCAAGGAGUCUAACAUCUAUGCGAGUGUUUGGGUGUCAAGCCCGAGCGCGUAAUGAAAGUAAACGGAGGUGGGAACCUUUUAGGUGCACCAUCGACCGAUCCUGAUGUCUUCGGAUGGAUUUGAGUAAGAGCAUAGCUGUUGGGACCCGAAAGAUGGUGAAMUAUGCCUGAAUAGGGUGAAGCCAGAGG